rnacentral:lncRNA from 1 species
GAAUAGGUCAGUUGACAACAUGUGGUGGAGGAGAGAAGCCUGCGUGCCUAUGCAUGUGAAAUGACGUUAGAAGGCUUCCAAAAGGGCGGGUGCAAAAUAAUAUUGCACAGUGCAAUUGAUCCUUAGUGGGAGCUCAGGAGCUGUUGGUUGAUGAGUGAGUUGAUAAGCUACAAGUGCCCACAGGGAGAAGGGAAACAUCAAGCAGGAUGACCAGGGGGUGCUGCAGAGAGGAAGCAGUGAACUGCCCGCAGCUGGCUGAGCCUGAGCCUGUGAUGGGGCCAAGGGUGUGCUGGCACCGUAUGGGCGGAAGGACCCGGGCUACCUCUAAGUCUACUGAGGCGUUAUUUACCAAGGAAUUCCACUGCUUGAAUUUAGAUUACUACUACCUUGACAAAAUUAUACCAAAACACAUCCCAGCACUUUGGGAGAUGGAGGCGGGAAGAUCACCAGGUCAGGAGAUCGAGACCAUCCCGGCUAACACGGUGAAACCCCGUCUCUACUAAAAAUACAAAAAAUUAGCCGGGAAACACUUGCUACUGUUUUAGACCACUACGUUUGGGGGUGAUUUGUUAUGUAGCAAUAAAUAAUAGAAAUAACCAUGAUCCCAAAUUUUUGUGCACAUUCGUGUGUGUGUGUGUGUGCGUGUGUGUGGUGUUGUGUACACAAUUGGCCCUUGAACAACAUGGGCUUGAACUGUGCAGGUCCACUAUGCACAGAUUUUCUUCUACCUCUGCUACCCCUGAGACAGCAAGACCAAUCCCUCCUCUUCCUCCCCACUGCUCAGCCUACUCAACAUGAACACAAUGAGGAUGAGGACCUUUAGGAUGAUGCACUACCACUUGACACAUGGUAAGUAGAUUUUCUCUUCUUUAUGAUUUUCUUAAUAACAUUUUCUUUUCUCUGGCUUACUUUUUUCUAAGAAUACAGAAUCUAAGACAUAUAACAUAUAAAAUAGGUGUUGCUUGACUGUGUUAUUGGCAAGGCUUCUGAUCAACAAUAGGCUUUUGGUAGUUAUGUUUUAGGGGAGUCAAGAGUUAUAUGCAGAUUUUCAACUGUGUUGGGGGAUCGGUGCCCCUAACCCUCAUGUUGCUCUAGAGUCAGCUGUACAUGUAUAUGCGUACACACACACACACACAUACACACACACAAUAUUUUUAUAUAUGCAAAUGUACAUCCACAUUUGCUGUGUUUUGCAUAAUUUUGAGGCAAUAGAGAACAGAAGGAACUGCUGAGAAUGGUUAUUUUUGAGUGGUGGACUGGAAGGCAGGGAAGCUGUGAUAGUUAAUUUUAGGUCUUAACUGGAUUAAGGAAUACCUAGAGAGCUGGUAAAGCCUCAAAUCUGGGUGUGUCUGUGAGGGUGUUUCCAGAGGAGACUGGCAUGUGAGUCAGUGGACCGAGUGGGAAAGAUCUGCCCUCAAUGUAGGCGGGCACCAUCCAAUCAGCUGGGGGCCCACAUAGAACAACAAGGCAGAGGAAAGGAGAAAUCUUUCUUUCUUUCUCCUGGACCUGGG